rnacentral:lncRNA from 1 species
CGAAUCCGACAUAGGUCGCCUAACAUAUAUUAUUCUUGAGAAUUCAGGUCAAACGUAGUUUAUUCUAUAGAAGAAGAAUAAAUUUUCCUAAAGGAUUGACCGAAGCCAUUAUAGGCUGCCGACGUAUCUCAUUCUAGAGAAUUUAGGUCAAGCAUAGUUCUUAUAUAAAGGAGAAUUUUUAAACUAAUACCAAGCAUAAAAAAUGAUUGAAUAUGAAAUAGUUCAAUUACAGAGAAAGAAACAUUGAUACAUGACUAUUCUGUAGAGGUUGUAUCUCUUCACUCAUCGAAGCUAAUCACCUUGGGCCACUCUUUGCCUAUUAUUUCGGAUAGGAGUAAGUCUCUCUAUGGAUAAUGUUCUAUGGACAACAUGGCAUCUUUAUCACACUUGUGUAAUCUUUCUAUUGAAAUUAUUGCCUUGUUUAAACACCACUCUUCAUAUGUAUCAAUCAUAUUAAUGUUUACCCUUCAAAAAUUUAUUAAUAAAUUGCUAUUAACAGUUGGAUCUGGUGCCUAUACAGUAAUGACCUCACGAUUAAUAAAGUAUUGAAUCUUGUGUUUUAGAUUUAUACAAUUUUUGGUGGUACUCCUAGCACCUUCUGAAUGGAAAGUACAGUGUUGGUAAGAUCUAUUAUCUUUGGCAUUUACGAUUAUAGAUUUUUGAUUAACUAUUUGAAUCAAUCCGCUGCGUGUAGUCUCUCUAAAUGUUGUGUUCGACUUUCUCUGCUAGAGGGGUAAAGAUUUUUGGAAGUUUCUUCACAAAUUUUUGAUUGGGUUGUUCGUAUUUAUUUUGUUUGCCUAGAGGCGGUACCUGAUGGUACUAAUGAUUUGGGAGGGUAGUUUGGACACUGUGUUGGUAAUUAGCUGUAGACUUUGAUAUUCUAGUUUGGUAUAGAAAACAAAUUAAGGGUCCUGUGGGAGCGUCUUAUUAAUAUUACCCACCCGCCUUCUUCAACUAAUUCUCCAAUCUUAACCCAAUCUACAAAUAUUGUGUGGCAUGUCGAAUCAUUAUUGUAUAGAACUCUCCUUCUUGAGCGCGGAAGGGUAAACCUUAGCAGCUUCCUUUCUCUAGCAAUAAGCAUAUUUUUAAAAUUUCUCAUCCACUUUCUGUUUAAUCUGAUUCAAAGAGUGUCCCUCUGGAGCUACUUUCUUAUUAUAAGAAAAUUUUUUGAGAAAGUCUUUGGGCAAAGAUCUCCAAUAAGGCGACUUCCUUAAAUAUUGUGAGUUGAACCAUUCCGAAGCUUCGUCACUUGGGCUAUGGCUACAAAUCCUCUUUAACGAUGAUUCAUUCUUACUUACCCCAGUUAUUCGGUACAAUAACUUUUUAAAGGGUUGUAGGAUUUCCUAUUCC